rnacentral:rRNA from 1 species
GACGAACGCUGGCGGCGUGCCUAAUACAUGCAAGUCGAACGCAUUUUCUUUCACCGUAGCUUGCUACACCGAACGAAAAUGAGUGGCGAACGGGUGAGUAACACGUCGGUAACCUGCCCAUCAACUUGGGAUAACACUUGGUAACAGGUGCUAAUACCGCAUAAUUCCAUUUACCGCAUGGUAGAUCGGUGUAAGUCGCUUUUGAGUCUCUGUUGGCUGGACCCGCGGUGGAUUAGCUGGUUGGUGGGGUAACGGCCUACCAAGGCUGCGAUGCAUAACCGGCCUGGGGAGGUGGUCGGCCCACAUUGGAACGAGACCACGGUCAAGACUCUACGGGAGGCAGCCGUAAGGGAUCCUCGGGAAAGGGCCCAAGGCUUAACGGGCCACGCCGCGGGGGGUAAGGAGGGUUUCGGGUCGUAAAAACCUGUUUUUUGGGAAGAAAAAAGAGUGUAGGUGAAAGUGCACGUCUUGACGGUACCUAAUCAGAAAGCCACGGCUAACUACGUG